GAACCUUACCUGGGCUCGAACGGCUGGUUAACGAUCGUGGAAACACGGUUACUCCGCAAGGGGAUCCAGUCGAGGUGCUGCAUGGCUGUCGUCAGCUCGUGUCGUGAGAUGUUGGGUUAAGUCCCGCAACGAGCGCAACCCUUGUCCUGUGUUGGCAUGCCGCAAGGCGCAACUCUCAGGAGACCGCCAGCGAUAAGUUGGAGGAAGGUGGGGAUGACGUCAAGUCAUCAUGGCCUUUAUGUCCAGGGCCACACACGUGCUACAAUGGGCGGUACAAAGCGCUGCCAACCCGCGAGGGGGAGCUAAUCGCCAAAAACCGUCCUCAGUUCGGAUUGCAGGCUGCAACUCGCCUGCAUGAAGCUGGAAUCGCUAGUAAUGCUAUAUCAGAACGAUAGCGUGAAUACGUUCCCGGGCCUUGUCACACCGA
rnacentral:rRNA from 1 species